UGUACUCACACUAGGCACGGUUGCCAUGAACCGGGCCCGAGUACGAUUGUCCCCCCUCCCCACUCCCCCUCUGGCCUGCACUCACAUAUAGGGUUUCAGCAUUCGUGCCGGAGCACGCUUACGUCAUUGUGGUGCGACGGUUUCGGGAUAAACAGGAAGAGCGGCGCUCUAUGAACACAAUGGAGUGCAUCGCUCUGUUUUCUUUGUGGAUAAUUUUGUGAUGUUUGGUCCACAGCCUGUUGUUAAACAGAUGUGUCGCCUUAGUGGCGCGAACAUUUUCACGUAAUCGUGCUGCUCGUAUGAGGAUGUUUGCAAGAUACCAGCUGAAGUGCAGCAAGGACUUUGCAGUUUUUAGUUUUUUUUAUGCGUUUUGCACCUCUGCCGUAGACCAAAGCGACCCUUUCCCUGCCAUGUUGGUUUUGGAGCAUCGCAAAACUGUGAUGCAAAGCGUCCUUUUCCGUGCCCCGGCACGGUUAGCGCUCACACUGCAUGCGAACCGCGCCCGAGUCCAACUGAACCGUGCCCUGGCCCACCUCUUCCAAGCGGGCCAGGGCCGGCCAAUCGAGCCGCGCCCGGGCACGAUUCGGAGCACUCACACUAGUCAAACGAACCGCGCUUUGGUGGUCAAACGCACUCGGGCACGGUUCAAACUGGCAGUGUGAGUACACCCUCAAUUUGUUUGAAUGUGUGGGCGGCGCUGAAACGCCCCUUUCAUCCCUUCUGUACUGCACCGACAAGCGGCAACCGGAAGCUCAGUUCAUCUUCACCAGGAGAGAAGCGGCAGACAGCAGAGUUUAUUAAUCCUGCGGAUUAUUUGCUAGUAGUGUGACUUGAAUCUUAGCAUCAGUUGUAGUGAUGGGAAGUUCGGAUCAUUUCACGAAUCGGACUUUUGAGUCUCGUUCAGCAAAAUGAACGAAUCUUUUUUCGAGUCAUUUCAAAUGAACGAACAACCAGAAGGUUCAGGAAGAAAAAAACAAAGUGCUUGCAGUCUGUUUCACAGGAGGCAUUUUGCUGCAUAAUCGAUCCACCACAAACCAUAUGCAACUAUGGAAGCUCAACUUCCAUUAAAUGGACAGUAAAAUAAAUAUGUGCAUGUUACAGACUGUCUGGGCAUGCACUUCCGCGUUUCAGAGAUCCGCUUUUUACUUUCCGUCAACAUUACAUUAAUUAACGUUUCGAAAAUUGAUUUUUGACAUUUGUGAAUCAAUCAAGAAUCGUCUGCUUAUGCAUUGCGAUACAUUUAAGAACUACUACCCCUAGAACCCCUACUAAAUAUAGUAUAUAAUGUAAAUGUAAAAAUCUGAAAUACAAAAUAAUAAUAAUAAUAAAUAAAAUGGUAUAGGUAUUAAUUACUAUUGUGAUAUUGAUUGUUAUAGGAGACACUUUGACAAGUGGGCACUGGAUGCUGAGUAUUGAAGGCGAGGUGGUGUGUGAGGGCACUCAGCCCAGUUUCCUGUCUGGCCUUGCCACUCUGUUUGCUGCUUAUUACUAGUUUAAUCUUGAGUACCAAGUAAAAGCAGUGUGUACCUUGGAGUUCAUUCAAAGGUGCUUUCUGGGCAUAAAUCCAGAGAGAGGAUCCAAAGCCAAGGCAAAAGUGCCAUCGAAAUAAAAACAGGACAAGUGAUACAGAAGAAAAUGUGUGGCAGUCAACCCACAUGUUGCCACUCUUCUGUGCAAAUUCCUAUGGAAUUUUUGAAAUUCACACUUUGAAUCCUGGGAUGGAACUUCAUCUGGAGCAUAAUUGUUAUUUGGUUGAUUUUUAUCUGUUUGAUGGAAAGUUUGUAUGACUUCUGCAAGUACGCAGCUCCAGUCAUGCAUCACUUUUUUUUGUAUGACUUGUUUGGCCAUAUUGGUCUAUUCUUUAAUGAUGAAAGCUAUCUGAAAAUGUCUUUGUGGUUUUUAAAGGAUUAGUUCACCCAAAAAUGAAAAUUAAGUCAAUAAUUACUUCUGUCGUUCCACACCCGUAAGAUCUUCGUUCAUCCUCACAACACACAUUAAGAUGUGGCUCAGGGAAGCCUGCAUUUCUAGCAAGAUCAUUUCUUUUUUCAAUGCCCAGAAAGCCUCUAAAACAUUUAAAACAAUUCAUGUGACUACAGUUGUUCAACCUAAAUAUUAUAAAGCGACGAGAAUACUUUUUUUGCCAACUUUUGUUUCAAAUCAUUUGCUCAGAACGUGUAUCAAACUGCAAAAGUCACAUGAACCAUUGAAAUUUCAAAACACUUAUGACGUAACGAAGCCUCAUUUACUGAAAUCAUGUGACUUUGGCAGUUUGAUAUGCUCUGAUUUGAACUGAAAGAUUAAUAAAGCUUUGAAGCUUCAUGAAGCAGUGUCAUCCAUCACGAGAUAUUGUUGAAUAGUCAUUAUUUUGUUUUUCAUAAACUGUUUUAAAUAUGUUUUUAGUACCUUUCUGGGCAUUGGAAAAGGAAAUGAUCUUGCUAGCAAUGUAGGCAUCACUGGGCCAUUAGGUUUUAUAAAAAAUAUCUUAAUGUGUGUUGUGAAGAUGAACAAAGGUCUAAAGGGUGUGGAAUGACAUGAGGGUGAGAAAUGACAGAAUUUUCACUUUUGGGUGAACUGCUUUAAUAUGACCAUGUUGGUCAUGUUUCGGUUAUAACUCAGUUUGAAUAUUUCUUUGUGUAUAGGUCCAUGAUGGCCAAUAUGUUCCAAGUAAUAAAAAAGAAAUCAUGUCAAAAUUUCAUAUCCAUUUAAAAAAAAAAUGAAAUAAUUUUAAAAUAAAUAAAAAUGAGUUCAAAAUAAAA